CCCGAAGACGUCAACACGCUCUUCUUCCAGACUACAUUUCCCAGCAUGCAAAGUGCCCCGUGUAGGGUUAUGGGAGCUGGAGUCCAGUGGGUGCAGCUGUGUUUUCUCUGGCAACCUGCUGAGUUUAGACACUGCCUUAGAUUGUUAGAAUGUCUCUAAAACCCCUUUCAUCAUGUUGAUGAGCAAACUGACGCUCAGGAAAUUUAAGUGGCUUCCCCAGGGAUUCACGGAGAGUUAAUGCAUUCUUACACCUGAUUAAUUCAGAUACGCGUCGGCGUCCCACGCGCUUUUUGCCUCUUCCUUAACUCUGGGAUUCCAGCAGAAAUGGGAUAAAUUUGCGGUAUGGACGAAAAUGAUGUGCACACUCAGACUCUUGGCUUCCUUCAAGACUCGGCUCCAAUUCCACCUUUUUGCAAGAGGAUUUUCCUAAUGUUUUCCUUCCCCCUGUCAAUCAUUUCUGAAUUUACCCUAAAAACCCUGUAUAUAUUUUGCAAGCCGAUAAUCGUCUCCCCAUUAGACUGAGCUCCUUGAGGAAAUGGGCUGGUUUUGCCUUUCUUUGCAAAUACUAUGCUCUCACGUUGUAAGAGCAUAAUAAAUAGUCGUUAACUUUUUAUAAUUUCAUUACUUAUACCAUGGAAGAAUCGGUUCUUUACUCUUUUUCCUCUUUAGCUGUUUUGUUUUCCUCUUCUUUCUCAAUCCAUGAUCAUCUUGCCGCUUUUCGCUGACUACAGUGAGAGAGUGGGAGUGUCAAUUGAAAGGUACUUGAAAACUUAACUAGUAUUUUUCCAUCUUCUCUCCAUUGAUCCUGAGACUCCCAGCCUUUUUUUUCCUCCUCAGGAUACUGAUUUUAACUUCUGCCCCCUGGGAGAAGCAGCAGACUCUCAGGGAAAGACACUCAGAGAAGAGGUGCCUCUUUGAAUGACAAAUCUCUCUCAGACUGAAGAAAAACCUGGCCAUUACUCUGAGGAUCCCACCCAGCCUUUUGAGGGCUCCAAGGCCAACACCCUCCUUGAUCUGUCCUGGAGAGAUGUUAAUGUUAAACAAUAUGCCCCAAAUAUAUGGAGGAAGCUGCAGAAGCCAGAUUUGGUCCCUCAAAUUUCUCCCUUGAAAACAGCUAUUGGAGUCUUUAAUGAUCAAGCUGCAGCCAAGGAGAGAGGCCACAGAAUUAAAGCAAGAUUUGGAGAAAAGUCUCUACUCGGCUGCUGACAUUGCCAGGAACCACAAAGAUUCAUGCUUUAGGUGUCAUAGAAACUGUCCAAGAAGACUCCCCAGUCCUUGUCCUGAGUUUGAGCAGGAGGAGCAUUGGAGGAGGGACUGCCUACAGGGGUUGAGCUGCCCUCCAGCAGGAGUUGGCAGCUUAGUCAAACUCCCCUUCGUUCCACCAUGACAGCCCAAUACAUGGUGGCCGGUAAGACAAAUGAAUUUCUUUUUGCUAUGGGAGGGGCUUCUCCUUCACUCUGGCUCUGGCACUCUGGUCUCACCUGCCCCUCUCCACAUAGAGUGGGGAUUGCAAGGGAAUUUAAGAGCUGCCUUGAGACCUCUCCUCUGCCUCACCAGCUUAGCGACCUGUCAUUUAAAUGCUCAUUUGCUAUUUUACUGGGGAGUGAUUUCAUGGUGAAAUUGAGCACUCAAUUUUCUCUUCUCAGACCUCCAGAUGAAUUUCUUACACACAAACAUUUAGUUAGAGAGUUAAGAGAUUAACUGCAGUCUUAUCUUGAGCUGCAGUCCUGAAAGGCAGGGCCACACCCUGGGCGAACCCAGAUUGCUUUUCUGCCUAGAUUGGCCUUCCUGUCUCAGAGCAGUGGCUCCCAGCUGUUUUAAUUAAAGAUGCUUUAAAACUAACUUUGGCCAUUAGAACCAUUAGAGGUUUUAACCCCCUGGAUUCAGAGCAUUUUAGAAGCCAAAGGGUAUUAGUGGCUUGCUGAUGGAAAACCUAAUAGAUGUCAGGGUCUCUUACCUGAUCUGACUCUCUGGGUGUGUCACACUCUUAAUCCUCCCACCCUGCUCCCCGACACCACCAGUGGGGAGACAUCAUUCAUAGCUUUCUUGAAAAUAGGGAAAGAAAGGCGGGUUAUUCUGUGGUGAUUCCGAGUGGCACCCUAGAAGCUAAGCCAUUGCCUCCUGGGACUUCUGCCCAGAAAGCUGAACUCAUUGCCCUAACCAGAGCUUUGGAACUGGCGAAGGGAAUGAGAGUGAACAUCUACACUGAUUCCAGAUAUGCUUUUCUGUUGGAAUCCUUACAAAGUGUUAACUCAUUAGAAUUGAUAGAGACAAUAAUUAUCUAAUUUAACAUGGUUCAGUAUGAUUGAUCUGAUCUUACCAGGAGAUGUUAUGGGCCAGAAUUUGAAACAAGAUACUAAGUGGAGUUGAGGAGACAAUGUUUAAAUCUAGUUUAGCAUAGAUUUAAUCAUACAACAAAUAAUGGUUUCCCAGUGAUAUAAUAAUUGGUGUGUACUCAGUGAACAGCAUAUAAGCAAGAAGCUCUCAGGGCCAAAGAGCAUUCUGAAAGAGAAAGCCCACUCUUGGAGGCAGAGUCAGAUUCACUCUAUCUUCCAUCUUUGUGCUAGCUGGAGGCUGAAGAAAGCAGAGGCAAAGGACAAGCUGCAAGAGUUCUUAGAACCAAGCAGAGAGAUAGGCCUCUAAGAAAGCUAACCAGGCCCAAGGAAAGAGACAAGACUUGGAAUGGAAACUUAAGGCUGCCUCCAGAAAAUCUCCUCAAGAAACCUGUUCCCACAGACAUCAUAUAUUAUAAAAAAAGAAGAGAACACCACACUUUUCAUAUUUUGCAUGCUCAUGGGGCUAUAUGGAAAGAGAGAGGUCAUUUGACAACAAUAACAAAAGGACACCAGAAGGAAGAUUCUCUCACUCUCACUCUUCUGCCUAACAUUUUCUCACUCCAAGGAUGAGAACUUUGGCUCCUAGCAUUUUCUCUCCUACUUUUCUUAUUAUUUUAUGGCCUCUGUCAGUAGUUAACUCCUUCUCAGCCUUUCAGCUAGGGAGCUCUGUGGGCAGUAGGAGCAUUCAGGAUUGUUGGAUGGGCCAUCAGCAUCCUUAAAGCAGCCCACAGAUGGGACCUGAUGCAUUUUUUGCAAAAGGCCCCAUUCCCAAACAUCAUCAUCUCUACCCUGGAUGACAUCCCACUUUUAAUCUGCUCCUGAGAUCUGUUCUCUCUAGGCUUCAAGCUAGGAAUUUUCAACUGCUCCUUCAGCCUGGAGAUCAUGGGGUGACUGACUGGGACACACAACACCCCUUAAAUAUUGCUGCUGCUGCUUUCAGAUCUUAUACUUCCUUUCCUGGCUUGAACCUUCAGUGAAUUUAGGGACAUCUCUAUGAUCCUUGUCAGCUUGAAGCAAUUACAGAAGAUGAGACCUUUGCCCCUUUAUCCCAAAUGAAUUUGGGGGGACUGCUUGACGGGGUAAUGAUAGGGUGAAUCCUGAAACUGUGUCCCCUUUAAUCUGUAAAAGAAGGGAGAUUAGGGGUCUCAGGCUCUUCCCUGGGAAAAAAAAAAAAAAAAACAUACCUUUCCCAGAUAGGCCCUUCCCAAGUUAAGUGGCUCCAUUCAAUCGGAGAUCUUGGUCAAAUCACCCGCCAUUGAAAAUGAGAUCUUUUGGGAUGGCCAGGAUCCCCUUCAGGGAAUUCCUAGACUCUGGGAAGAAGCCUUCAAACUUUCAGUUAAGUGAUUUUAUUCAAUAGUCCUCUAUUGAUUAGCCCAGACAGCUCCCAGCCCCAGGCCAACAUUUGCCCAUAUAACCAGGGGUCUGUUAACACACCUUUGCUAAAUUCCUAAUGAGGAGUUUUGCCUAUUAAGAGAGCUUCUUUUUAGAGAACAAUAAACUUCCCUUUUGCCAUAACA